rnacentral:rRNA from 1 species
CUACGGGUUGCUCCAGUGGGGAAUAUUGCACAAUGGGCGCAAGCCUGAUGCAGCAACGCCGCGUGAGGGAUGAAGGCCUUCGGGUUGUAAACCUCUUUUAGCAGGGAAGAAGCGAAAGUGACGGUACCUGCAGAAAAAGCACCGGCUAACUACGUGCCAGCAGCCGCGGUAAUACGUAGGGUGCAAGCGUUGUCCGGAAUUAUUGGGCGGAAAGAGCUCGUAGGCGGUUUGUCACGUCGGCUGUGAAAAUCCAAGGCUCAACCUUGGACUUGCAGUGGGUACGGGCAGGCUAGAGUGCGGUAGGGGAGAUGGGAAUUCCUGGUGUAGCGGUGGCAUGCGCAGAUAUCAGGAGGAACACCAAUGGCGAAGGCACAUCUCUGGGCCGUAACUGACGCUGAGGAGCGAAAGCGUGGGGAGCGAACAGGAUUAGAUACCCUAGUAGUC